AGGAGAGUAGUUUAAUGGUAGAACAGUGGUCUCCAAAACCAUCAGUGAGAGUUCGAUUCUUUCCUCUCCUGCCA
rnacentral:tRNA from 1 species